CCGUUCAAGACCCGCCCCGUGAAGGAGGUGAAGGCUAGGCUAGUUCUAACUUCCUAGAUUAAACACAAGGACUGGCUUUCCUGGUAGACUGUGUUUCCCUGGUUGUCAGAAGGUCAUCGUGAAUUGAAGAUAAUGGCAGGUAAUGUGAGGAGAUUUUACAAGAUGACAGCGAAGCUGUUGUCCGGAGAUGUCUUCAGCUUCGAGCGGCUGAGGGGGAAAGUUGUUCUCAUUGAAAAUGUGGCGACUCUCUGAGGAACAACCACCAGGGAUUACACUCAGAUGAACGAGCUCCACAGUCGUUACUCCGACAAGGGACUUGUUGUUCUGGGUGUUCCCUGCAAUCAGUUUGGACAUCAGGAGAAUUCCAAAAACAGUGAAAUCCCUAAACUCCUGAAGUACGUCCGUCCUGGAAAUGGCUUUGAACCUAAGUUUAAUCUCCUUAAGAAGAUGGAGGUCAAUGGAAAAGAUGCAGACCCUCUGUUUGUCUAUCUUAAAGAAAAGCUCCCAUUUCCCAUUGAUGAAUCGAUGGCUCUCAUGAAUGACCCAAAGUCCAUCAUUUGGAGUCCUGUCUGCAGGAAUGACAUCGCCUGGAACUUUGAGAAGUUCUUGGUCGGCCCUGACGGAGAGCCCUACAAACGCUACAGCAGGAUUUUUCUGACCAUUGAUAUUGAGGCAGACAUUAAAGAGUUACUCAAAAAGGUCAAGUAAGUUGUGCAUUAAAAUGGGUUGCAUGACAGUGAUAGGUUAUCAGUUAUGAACAAACGGCUGCUCAGAUUAUCAGUAGACACACUUGGGCAGCAUUUGUUAACUGCACAUUCAACAGAAAAAAAUAUGUUUUAUUAGAUGAAUGUUGUUAUUCCAGCAUCAUACACUAGUUGUAAAAGCUGUUUACUGUAUGACGGAAUUUCUUAAAACAUUUUUUGUGAGAGAAGUUUUUGAUGAAGAUGUAAAUGGCUUUUUCACUGUGUAUAACAUCUUUGUUGGUAAAUAACAGAUUAAUAAACAUUUUCCAUCACUGAA